GAUGAACGCUAGCGGCAGGCUUAACACAUGCAAGUCGAGGGGCAGCAUGGUCUAGCAAUAGACUGAUGGCGACCGGCAAACGGGUGCGGAACACGUACAGAAUCUACCUUUGUCUGGGGAAUAGCCCGAAGAAAUUCGGAUUAAUACCCCAUAAUAUAUAUGAGUGGCAUCACUUGAAUAUUAAAACUCCGGUGGACAAAGAUGACUGUGCGUCCCAUUAGCUAGUUGGUAGGGUAAAGGCCUACCAAGGCGACGAUGGGUAGCUGGUGUGAGAGCACGACCAGCCACACGGGCACUGAGACACGGGCCCGACUCCUACGGGAGGCAGCAGUGAGGAAUAUUGGUCAAUGGACGCAAGUCUGAACCAGCCAUGCCGCGUGAAGGAUGAAGGCGUUCUGCGUUGUAAACUUCUUUUAUCUGGGAAGAAACCUACGAUUUCUAUUGUAGCCGACGGUACCAGAGGAAUAAGCACCGGCUAACUCCGUGCCAGCAGCCGCCGUAACAC
rnacentral:rRNA from 1 species